rnacentral:rRNA from 1 species
GACAGAGGUGCCGAGCGUUAGGCGGAAUCACUGGGCUUAAAGCGUGUGUAGGCGGACCGUUGAGUACCUUGUGAAAUCCCACGGCUCAACCGUGGAACGGCUGGGUAUACUGGCGGUCUUGGGCCACCUAGGGGCGAGCGGAACAAGCGGUGGAGCGGUGAAAUGCGUAGAUAUCGCUUGGAACGCCGACGGUGAAAACAGCUCGCUGGGGGUGUGCCGACGCUGAGACACGAAAGCCAGGGGAGCGAACGGG